rnacentral:lncRNA from 10 species
CGGCCACCACCAGCCAAUUCGUGCCCGGCCGGCCAAUGAGCGCCGCGGGGGGCCGCGUGAUCGGAGCCUGGCCGCGGCGUGAUCGGGCAGGGCGGGACGCGGCACGUGUUUUGGUCGGAGCGAGGGGCGGGGCCUGAGGCCCUGGAAAGUAAGGGAAAGGUCGCAGCGGCGCCAGGGGAAUGCGUCCUUGACCGGAGAGGUCGGAAAGCUGGCCGGUUCUAGGCCCCGAGAAAACGCCGCCCCCUCCGGGAAGUCCUCGAGCCUGCAGGAGACAUCUAGCCCGCUGUCCAGGGCACCUUUUUUUUUCUCCCUAUAUUUCGGUUGCUCGCGUCUCUUGGUGUGGUUUGCCCACGUCUGCAGCGCCAGACAGCAUUCCUUCUGCGUGGAACAUGCCAACCCUCGUCUGCUUUGACUUUGCAAAACUGCAUGAGACCGCCGGGCGCGGUGGCUCACGCCUGUAAUCCCAGCACUUCAAGAGGCCGAGGCAGACAGAUCACCUGAGGUCAGGAGUUUGAGGCCAGCCUGGCCAGCAUGGUGAAACCCCGUCUCUACUAAAAAUACAAAAAAUCAGCCAGUAAUCCUAGCUACUCGGGAGGCUGAGGCAGGAGAAUCGCUUGAACCCAGGAAGCAGAGGUUGCAGUGAGCCGAGGUCAUGCCAUUGCACUCCAGCCUGGGCUACAAGAGUGAAACUCCGUCUCAAAAAAGAAAAAAAAAAAGAAAAAAAGACUGCAUAUGACUCCCCAGUGAAGCCCUCCCUGAUUGGCCUCUGCAGAAGGCAGCAUGCCCGGGCUUUGGAGUCAGACCUGCAUACAAAUCCUUGUUUUGCCGGUGUGACCUUGCCAAGUCUUCUUUCCUGCAGGACAGAAGGCGGCAGCAGCUCUCCCUGAACUGGCACUCUGGCUUCUCUUGCCCCAGGGUCUGUUUCUGCUCCUUGGACAGCAGGCGCAUGUGGGAACUGUGCCCUCUUCAGCCAUGAGCCCCUGUUCUGCGCACAUCUAGCCCAUCUUCCAGAUGGACAGACAGUCUGUGGUCGUCGCCAAACCCCUGAAUCUGGCCCUGCCCGCAGUCAGAGGGAUGGCAAUUUGUAAGCUACAGACUAUUGCGAAUCAUUCACUUGGAGACUGAACUAAGACUACUGGCACCAGGCUCCGUAGACCCUCGGGAAGAGCAUGGUCUGGCAGGCAGACUGGAUGUGGCCACAGAUAACAUCCCCUAAGGGGAGAGCGUGAGCCUGCAGGCCAGAAUGCCACCACUUUCUCCUGUGUCGUUCCAGAGAGAGCCUGUGGCUAUGCACGCUUGCUGCUACAGAGGGUAGUGCUGUAUACCUCCUGGGCUCACUUACUGACUUUUCAGUCUAAGGGCUUAUUGCAAUUGGUACAUAACGAUCAUACUUUGUAAUGGUUAAGUAAUAUUCCAUCAUAUGGAUGUGUUGUUUAUUUAACAUUCUGGUUGAAUAACCAAGACUUUUAGGUUUCCAGUUUUCCAGGAACAUCAUGCCCCUCCAUCAUUUGCCCACCUGGAAGGAUAACUACAGGAUAAGCAGCUCUUAGAACUGGAAUUGCUGAGUUAACUGCUCUGUGCAUUUCCUUGCUUUUUCUUGCUUUUCUUUUCUUUCUUUUAUUAUUUUUUUGGGUAAAUUUUUAUUGAACUAUAGCAUAGCGUAGAUACAGGAAAGUGUAAAAACUUAAAUGUACAAUUCAAUGAAUUUUCGCUAGGCAAACACUGUGUCACCAGCACCCAGAUUUAGAAACAGAAUAUUACCAGAAUCCCAAAAGCCCCAUGAGCUGCCGUCCAGUCACUACUUACCGUUUCCCUGAUCCCCUGCAUAGGAUAAUCCUUAUCAUGGCUUCUGACACUUUCGGUUGGUUUUGGAUGUACUGACACUUUUUGUGUGUGUGUGACACUUUUAUAAUACAAAGAAAAUCAUACAGUAUGUUCAGUUUGGGGUCUGGCUUCU